AUUGAACGCUGGCGGCAGGCCUAACACAUGCAAGUCGAGCGAGCGGCGGACGGGGGAGUAAUGUCUGGGAACCUGCCUGAUGGAGAGGGAUAACUACUGGAAACGCUAGCUAAUACCGCAUACCAUCAGCUUUGCCCAGAUGGGAUUAGCUAGUAGGUGGGGGAAUGGCUCACCUCGGCGACGAUCCCUAGCUGGUCUGCGAGGAUGACCAGCCACACUGGAAAGGAGAAACGGCCCAGACUCAUACGGGAGGCAGCAGGGGGGAAUAUGGCACAAUGGGCGAAAGCCUGAUGCAGCCAUGCCGCGUGGGUGAAGAAGGCCUGCGGGUUGUAAAGUACUGUCAGCGGGGAGGCGUUACCCGCAGAAGAAGUACCGGCUAACUCCGUGCCAGCAGCCGCGGUAAUAC
rnacentral:rRNA from 1 species